CCGCCGGCGACCGGCGCACGGGUGAGUAACACGUAUCCAACCUGCCGAUGACUCGGGGAUAGCCUUUCGAAAGAAAGAUUAAUACCCGAUGGCAUAGUUCUUCCGCAUGGUAGAACUAUUAAAGAAUUUCGGUCAUCGAUGGGGAUGCGUUCCAUUAGCUUGUUGGCGGGGUAACGGCCCACCAAGGCAUCGAUGGAUAGGGGUUCUGAGAGGAAGGUCCCCCACAUUGGAACUGAGACACGGUCCAAACUCCUACGGGAGGCAGCAG
rnacentral:rRNA from 1 species